GAGUUCCUCCUGGAAGGGGUGAGGGAAGGUGGAGUGUGCCUCAGAGAUGGAGACCUGGGGAGCUGAGCUAAGGAAGAGGAGGUGGAGUGUACACCGAGAGAGAGAGAAUGGAGCAGCUGGGGUUCCAACUGGAGCACCGUCGGGGGAGAGACUGAGCCUAAAUCCUCCUACUUCCCUUCGGAACCCUGAUGCUGAGAAGAUAUGAAAGUUCUUUGAAAUUGUUUAAAAUCACAAGCCAGAGCUGGAGCAUGCAUGUGGAGUUUGGAAUGAAGAGUAACCAAGACACAGAAAGGGUGAAAAAUUGGUGAUGAAAAUGGUGCUGCAGAAGAAUGCACCAUCCAAAAAAUGCUUGCUUCUCUAUCUUUUCCACCACCACUAUUGUGUUGUCCUUCUUACAAAUAAUAAAUAUAU